rnacentral:rRNA from 1 species
GACGGAGGAUGCAAGCGUUAUCCGGAAUUACUGGGCGUAAAGCGCACGCAGGUGGCUGAGUCAGUCGAUUGUGAAAGCCCUGGGCUUAACCUGGGAAUUGCAGUCGAUACUACUCAGCUAGAGUAUGGGAGAGGGUAGUGGAAUUCCCGGUGUAGCGGUGAAAUGCGUAGAUAUCGGGAGGAACAUCAGUGGCGAAGGCGGCUACCUGGCCCAAUACUGACACUCAGGUGCGACAGCGUGGGGAGCAAACAGG